rnacentral:rRNA from 1 species
AUUGAGCGCUGGCGGCAUGCCUUACACAUGCAAGUCGAACGGCAGCGGGGGAGAAGCUUGCUUUUCCUGCCGGCGAGUGGCGAACGGGUGAGUAAUACAUCGGAACGUGCCCUGUAGUGGGGGAUAACUAGUCGAAAGAUUAGCUAAUACCGCAUACGACCUGAGGGUGAAAGUGGGGGACCGCAAGGCCUCAUGCUAUAGGAGCGGCCGAUGUCUGAGUAGCUAGUUGGUGGGGUAGAGGCCUACCAGGGCGACGAUCAGUAGCUGGUCUGAGAGGACGAUCAGCCACACUGGGGAUGAGAGACGGACAAGACUCCUGGGGGAGGCAGCAGGGGGGAAUUUUGGACAAUGGGCGAAAGCCUGAUCCAGCAAUGCCGCGUGUGUGAAGAAGGCCUUCGGGUUGUAAAGCACUUUUGUCAGGAAAGAAGUGGCUGUGGUUAAUGCCUGGGGUUGAUGACAGUACCGGAAGAAUAAGGACCGGCUAACUACGUGCCAGCCGCCGCCGUAA